GAUCCUGGCUCAGGACGAACGCUGGCGGCGCGCCUAACACAUGCAAGUCGAACGAGCGAGAGGAGGUUUACUUUCUCAAGCGAGUGGCGAACGGGUGAGUAACGCGUGAGGAACCUGCCUCAAAGAGGGGGACAACAGUUGGAAACGACUGCUAAUACCGCAUAAGCCCACGACCCGGCAUCGGGUAGAGGGAAAAGGAGCAAUCCGCUUUGAGAUGGCCUCGCGUCCGAUUAGCUAGUUGGUGAGGUAAUGG
rnacentral:rRNA from 1 species